UGCAAGUCGAGCGGACAGAAGGGAGCUUGCUCCCGGAUGUUAGCGGCGGACGGGUGAGUAACACGUGGGUAACCUGCCUGUAAGACUGGGAUAACUCCGGGAAACCGGAGCUAAUACCGGAUAGUUCCUUGAACCGCAUGGUUCAAGGAUGAAAGACGGUUUCGGCUGUCACUUACAGAUGGACCCGCGGCGCAUUAGCUAGUUGGUGGGGUAAUGGCUCACCAAGGCGACGAUGCGUAGCCGACCUGAGAGGGUGAUCGGCCACACUGGGACUGAGACACGGCCCAGACUCCUACGGGAGGCAGCAGUAGGGAAUCUUCCGCAAUGGACGAAAGUCUGACGGAGCAACGCCGCGUGAGUGAUGAAGGUUUUCGGAUCGUAAAGCUCUGUUGUUAGGGAAGAACAAGUGCGAGAGUAACUGCUCGCACCUUGACGGUACCUAACCAGAAAGCCACGGCUAACUACGUGCCAGCAGCCGCGGUAAUACGUAGGUGGCAAGCGUUGUCCGGAAUUAUUGGGCGUAAAGGGCUCGCAGGCGGUUUCUUAAGUCUGAUGUGAAAGCCCCCGGCUCAACCGGGGAGGGUCAUUGGAAACUGGGAAACUUGAGUGCAGAAGAGGAGAGUGGAAUUCCACGUGUAGCGGUGAAAUGCGUAGAGAUGUGGAGGAACACCAGUGGCGAAGGCGACUCUCUGGUCUGUAACUGACGCUGAGGAGCGAAAGCGUGGGGAGCGAACAGGAUUAGAUACCCUGGUAGUCCACGCCGUAAACGAUGAGUGCUAAGUGUUAGGGGGUUUCCGCCCCUUAGUGCUGCAGCUAACGCAUUAAGCACUCCGCCUGGGGAGUACGGUCGCAAGACUGAAACUCAAAGGAAUUGACGGGGGCCCGCACAAGCGGUGGAGCAUGUGGUUUAAUUCGAAGCAACGCGAAGAACCUUACCAGGUCUUGACAUCCUCUGACAACCCUAGAGAUAGGGCUUUCCCUUCGGGGACAGAGUGACAGGUGGUGCAUGGUUGUCGUCAGCUCGUGUCGUGA
rnacentral:rRNA from 1 species